rnacentral:rRNA from 1 species
UACGUAGGGGCUAGCGUUAUCCGGAAUUACUGGGCGUAAGGGUGCGUAGGUGGUUUCUUAAGUCAGAGGUGAAAGGCUACGGCUCAACCGUAGUAAGCCUUUGAAACUGGGAAACUUGAGUGCAGGAGAGGAGAGUGGAAUUCCUAGUGUAGCGGUGAAAUGCGUAGAUAUUAGGAGGAACACCAGUUGCGAAGGCGGCUCUCUAGACUGUAACUGACACUGAGGCACGAAAGCGUGGGGAGCAAACAGGAUUAGAUACCCUGGUAGUCCCUGAG